rnacentral:rRNA from 1 species
UAGGGAAUCUUCCGCAAUGGGCGAAAGCUUGACGGAGCAACGCCGCGUGAGUGAUGAAGGUCUUCGGAUCGUAAAACUCUGUUAUUAGGGAAGAACAAAUGUGUAAGUAACUAUGCACGUCUUGACGGUACCUAAUCAGAAAGCCACGGCUAACUACGUGCCAGCAGCCGCGGUAAUACGUAGGUGGCAAGCGUUAUCCGGAAUUAUUGGGCGUAAAGCGCGCGUAGGCGGUUUUUUAAGUCUGAUGUGAAAGCCCACGGCUCAACCGUGGAGGGUCAGUGGAAACUGGAAAACUUGAGUGCAGAAGAGGAAAGUGGAAUUCCAUGUGUAGCGGUGAAAUGCGCAGAGAUAUGGAGGAACACCAGUGGCGAAGGCGACUUUCUGGUCUGUAACUGACGCUGAUGUGCGAAAGCGUGGGGAUCAAACAG